GUGUAUAUACAUGUAUACACACAUAUGUGUGUGUAUACAUGUAUACACAUAUGUGUGUAUAUACAUGUAUAUAUA
rnacentral:pre_miRNA from 13 species